rnacentral:rRNA from 1 species
UACGUAGGUGGCAAGCGUUGUUCGGAAUUAUUGGGCGUAAAGGGCGCGUAGGCGGCUUAACAAGUCACUUGUGAAAUCUCCGGGCUUAACUCGGAACGGCCAAGUGAAACUGUCAAGCUAGAGUGCAGAAGGGGCAAUCGGAAUUCUUGGUGUAGCGGUGAAAUGCGUAGAUAUCAAGAGGAACACCUGAGGUGAAGACGGGUUGCUGGGCUGACACUGACGCUGAGGCGCGAAAGCUAGGGGAGCAAACAGG